rnacentral:rRNA from 1 species
UGACUGAGUGGCGGACGGGUGAGUAACGCGUGGGUAACCUGCCUCAUACAGGGGGAUAACAGUUAGAAAUGACUGCUAAUACCGCAUAAGACCACGGAGUCGCAUGACUCAGUGGGAAAAACUCCGGUGGUAUGAGAUGGACCCGCGUCUGAUUAGGUAGUUGGUGGGGUAACGGCCUACCAAGCCGACGAUCAGUAGCCGACCUGAGAGGGUGACCGGCCACAUUGGGACUGAGACACGGCCCAAACUCCUACGGGAGGCAGCAGUGGGGAAUAUUGCACAAUGGGGGAAACCCUGAUGCAGCGACGCCGCGUGAGCGAAGAAGUAUUUCGGUAUGUAAAGCUCCAUCAGCAGGGAAGAAAAUGACGGUACCUGACUAAGAAGCACCGGCUAAAUACGUGCCAGCAGCCGCGGUAAUACGUAUGGUGCAAGCGUUAUCCGGAUUUACUGGGUGUAAAGGGAGCGUAGACGGCUGUGUAAGUCUGAAGUGAAAGCCCGGGGCUCAACCCCGGGACUGCUUUGGAAACUAUGCAGCUAGAGUGUCGGAGAGGUAAGUGGAAUUCCCAGUGUAGCGGUGAAAUGCGUAGAUAUUGGGAGGAACACCAGUGGCGAAGGCGGCUUACUGGACGAUGACUGACGUUGAGGCUCGAAAGCGUGGGGAGCAAACAGGAUUAGAUACCCUGGUAGUCCACGCCGUAAACGAUGACUACUAGGUGUCGGGUGUCACAGACAUUCGGUGCCGCAGCAAACGCAAUAAGUAGUCCACCUGGGG